AAAAAACAAUGUUGUAAGAAACUUACAUCUUCACAAAGAAUGCAGAGGAGUGGAAAUGGAAUAAAUUAAGUUUUUUGAUUGUAAGAGGUCUUGUCAGAUCACCCAGAAACUGAUGAGAAUUUUUGUUCUGUGACUGCCUGGUGAUAGGUGGUCCGACGCUCUCUGCACGCAGGGAAGGGGCAGCAGCAGCAGCUUGCAGCUGGCCGCAGGACC